rnacentral:rRNA from 1 species
CCUACGGGAGGCAGCAGUGGGGAAUAUUGGACAAUGGGCGCAAGCCUGAUCCAGCCAUGCCGCGUGUGUGAAGAAGGCCUUCGGGUUGUAAAGCACUUUUAUCCGGAAAGAAAAGCUUUGGGUUAAUACCCUGAAGUCAUGACGGUACCGGAAGAAUAAGCACCGGCUAACUUCGUGCCAGCAGCCGCGGUAAUACGAAGGGUGCAAGCGUUACUCGGAAUUACUGGGCGUAAAGCGUGCGUAGGUGGUUUGUUAAGUCUGAUGUGAAAGCCCUAGGCUCAACCUGGGAAUUGCAUUGGAUACUGGCAGGCUAGAGUGCGGUAGAGGAUAGUGGAAUUCCCGGUGUAGCAGUGAAAUGCGUAGAGAUCGGGAGGAACAUCUGUGGCGAAGGCGACUAUCUGGGCCAGCACUGACACUGAGGCACGAAAGCGUGGGGAGCAAACAGGAUUAGACUACCCGUGGUAGUCCGACCGACCCGUAACCGUACUAGCGAACGUACGGAGUGUUGGGUUGGUCGAACGUACGGACGACUCAGUAGUACGAACGACGUAACCGUACCGGUUAACGGUUUACCGGUCCCGGUCCCGUCGGGGUACGGGUACGGGGUUCCGGCCGAACGACGUACGUAAACCGUUAAAACGUUAAGUAAAGUUAGUACGGGUACCGUAGGAGGACGUUACGGCCCGACGGACCGGACCGACCGGACGGGGAGGGUAGGG